UACGUAGGUGGCAAGCGUUGUCCGGAAUUAUUGGGCGUAAAGCGCGCGCAGGCGGUCCUUUAAGUCUGAUGUGAAAGCCCACGGCUCAACCGUGGAGGGUCAUUGGAAACUGGGGGACUUGAGUACAGAAGAGAAGAGUGGAAUUCCACGUGUAGCGGUGGAAUGCGCAGAUAUCAGGAGGAACACCGGUGGCGAAGGCGGGUCUCUGGGCCGAUACUGACACUGAGAAGCGAAAGCGUGGGGAGCGAACAG
rnacentral:rRNA from 1 species